rnacentral:rRNA from 1 species
CUGUGGAUCAGUGGCGAACGGGUGAGUAACACGUGAGCAAUCUGCCCCUGACUCUGGGAUAAGCGCUGGAAACGGCGUCUAAUACCGGAUACGAGCUGCGAAGGCAUCUUCAGCAGUUGGAAAGAAUUUCGGUCAGGGAUGAGCUCGCGGCCUAUCAGCUUGUUGGUGAGGUAAUGGCUCACCAAGGCGUCGACGGGUAGCCGGCCUGAGAGGGUGACCGGCCACACUGGGACUGAGACACGGCCCAGACUCCUACGGGAGGCAGCAGUGGGGAAUAUUGCACAAUGGGCGGAAGCCUGAUGCAGCAACGCCGCGUGAGGGAUGACGGCCUUCGGGUUGUAAACCUCUUUUAGCAGGGAAGAAGCGAAAGUGACGGUACCUGCAGAAAAAGCGCCGGCUAACUACGUGCCAGCAGCCGCGGUAAUACGUAGGGCGCAAGCGUUAUCCGGAAUUAUUGGGCGUAAAGAGCUCGUAGGCGGUCUGUCGCGUCUGCUGUGAAAUCCCGAGGCUCAACCUCGGGUCUGCAGUGGGUACGGGCAGACUAGAGUGCGGUAGGGGAGAUUGGAAUUCCUGGUGUAGCGGUGGAAUGCGCAGAUAUCAGGAGGAACACCGAUGGCGAAGGCAGAUCUCUGGGCCGUAACUGACGCUGAGGAGCGAAAGGGUGGGGAGCAA